UAUUUCUUCUAAUUAGAUGUUUUUAAAUGGUAACUGUACACAUACCUGGCUUCAUUCAUAUUAUUUGCAGAUAUGAGGACACAAGCUAAACAUCCUCCUGAUCAGAGAGAAGAUGCAUGCUCUGUCCUGCGAGCAUUUUCCAGAAAAGCAGCCUGACAGCAAAAGCCUUAGAAGAGAAAGAUGGCACCAGUGGUGUUCUUGAAAACCUGUGUGAAUGUAGCUGUGAAAUGAACAAUUCCUCCCAAAGCCCCAAAUCCCUUCUUUACAGAACCCUCAAGGUGGAAACUCUCUCCACUGCCUGCCUCAUUUGUUGACUGCAGGCAAAGGAGACACCAGUCUCCCAAGUAUCUUUCUUAGGUUGGCUUAUCU
rnacentral:lncRNA from 13 species